GUCCGGGCGGCCGUGACCCUGCUGGAGUCCGGGGGGGACCUCCAGCCCCCCGGGGGGUCCCUGCGCCUCCUCUGCCGAGGGGAUGGAUUCGACAUCGGGAAAUUUGGGAUGGGCUGGGUGCGCCAGAGACCCGGGAAGGGGCUGGAAUUCAUUUCAGCCAUCAGCAGGAAGAGCGGCAAGACGUUCUACGCGCCGUGGGUGCAGGGCCGGUUCACGAUGGGCAGCGACAACGGGCAGAGCUCGGUGACGCUGAGCAUGAACAACCUCCAGGACGAGGAUUCCGGGGUUUAUUUCUGUGCCAAAUGUAACAGCAAUAGUUGGACUGCUGUUUAUGCUUCUCAUGUUGACAAUGGCGGUGCUGGUCCCAGGUCGCCGUCCCGGGGCCAGAGCGAGCCCGGCUGGGGAUAA